rnacentral:lncRNA from 1 species
UCACAGAAAGUGAACGCAGACUCUGAGGCUGCUUCAGUUUGGCUGGCUGUCCUGACUAUUGUGUGGACACCUCUGGCUGGCACCCAGCAGACCCUUUCUAUCUGAAGUAGUAUAGGAAGUUAUUUCAUAUUAAUUUGGUGCCCAUGGCUCUUUGUUUGAGCUUGGAUCUGUGGGUUUACAAUUUCCACAAGCGUAGGAAACCAGCGGCCAUUCCUUUUACUGUGGUUUUGGCACCCACUCCUUACUGGGUUCCAACCCUCGGGCACUCCGCCAUCUGGAAGCCAAUGGGUUCUCCUCACUGUGCCUCAACCUUCCUUCUGUCUUGGGAGCUCUACAGCUGCGCCCUCAAGACCACUGCAGUUUUCUUCUGCCGCGCCUCAUAAGAGAUCCUGUUCCGAUCAAGUUUUUCACCUUACAUGUUGCAUCGGGACAGUGCCUGAACACUGAGUGGUAUAUGAACCUCGCGCCCCACCGUGGCUCUGCAACUCCGACGUAAAGCAGGCAGGUGAAGAUACAUGACCAAUGAGCAUCAAGGUCACUCGCAGACUCAGGAAGGAUGGUGACCUCGAAACUGGAAGAAGUCUCAGCAAACACUCACAGCUUUACUGUUUCAGAGGAGACCAGGGUAAGCCUGACAUGUGAUCUGACCACUCUAAUAAAUAACCGUGGUGUGGGAUGCUUCGAGGAGGUGGCGUCUGAAGGUCACAUCAGCUACUGAAAUUUCUAGCAACUAAGUGUGUAAUUAUCACAUGGGCCACA